rnacentral:rRNA from 1 species
AUACGUAGGGAGCGAGCGUUAUCCGGAUUUAUUGGGCGUAAAGCGCGCGUAGGCGGAUGCUUAAGCGGAAUCUCUAAUCUGAGGGCUCAACCCCCAGCCGGAUUCCGAACUGGGCGUCUCGAGUUUGGUAGAGGAAGAUGGAAUUCCCAGUGUAGCGGUGAAAUGCGCAGAUAUUGGGAAGAACACCGAUGGCGAAGGCAGUCUUCUGGGCCAACACUGACGCUGAGGUGCGAAAGCGUGGGGAGCGAACAGGAUUAGAUACCCUGGUAGUCCACGCCGUAAACGAUGGGCACUAGGUGUGGGGAGGAGUACCUUUCCGUGCCGCAGCUAACGCAUUAAGUGCCCCGCCUGGGGAGUACGGCCGCAAGGCUAAA